rnacentral:rRNA from 1 species
AAAAAUAUUAUAAAUUAAGUAGUAAAGAAAUUUCUGAAACUUAAAGAAUUUGGCGGUGUUUUAAAUAAUUGGAGGAACCUGUUAUUUAAUUGAAAAUCCACAACACAUCUUACCUUAUUUUUGUUUGUAUAUCGUCAUUCUCAGAUUAUAUUUAAAAAUCUAUAAUCAAAUUCAAUUGCAUUUCAAACAUUAGAUCAAGGUGCAGCAUAAUAAGGUUAUAAUGGGUUACAAUAUUUUCAAAAUACACGAACAGAAAAAAAAAUAAUCUUCUUGAAGGAGGAUUCAAAAGUAACUUGGAAGUAAAGAAUCCAUCUGAAUUAAAACCUAAAACAUGC